CUUGAAAUAAUAUGUGCACUUCUCAAACGAAAAUCGAAUAUUUGUUGGCCAUCCAUUUACCAGAUCCCAAGUGAGAAAAUAUUUAUAGUUGAUAACCCACACAACAAGACAAACGAAACCAAUUGCAGUUGUAAGUCUGUUCCCAAAUUCAUCAAGCUUCUUCUUCAAAGGGGUAUCACUCUCUUCCAAAGAAGCCUCAUGAAUUUGUGUCUGUAUCUUGCCAAUUUCAGUGAGCAUCCCAGUGUUCACGGCAACACAGAUACAGUUUCCAUUUACUACUGUAGUGCCUGCGAAAACCAUAUUUUCUUUGGCCUGCAAUUCACAGUCAUCCAUGAAUAUAGUAUUGGUUCCUUUCAAAACAGGCAUUGCCUCCCCUGUCAAGGAACUCUGCUCAACUCUUAAGGUAGAAG
rnacentral:lncRNA from 1 species